GUAGGUGGCAAGCGUUGUCCGGAAUUAUUGGGCGUAAAGCGCGCGCAGGCGGUUCUUUAAGUCUGAUGUGAAAGCCCACGGCUCAACCGUGGAGGGUCAUUGGAAACUGGAGAACUUGAGUACAGAAGAGGAAAGCGGAAUUCCACGUGUAGCGGUGAAGUGCGUAGAGAUGUGGAGGAACACCAGUGGCGAGGGCGGCUUUCUGGUCUGUAACUGACGCUGAGGCGCGAAAGCGUGGGGGAGCAAACAGGAUUAGAUACCCUGGUAGUCCACGCCGUAAACGAUGAGUGCUAAGUGUUAGGGGGUUUCCGCCCCUUAGUGCUGCAGCUAACGCAUUAAGCACUCCGCCUGGGAGUACGGCCGCAAGGCUG
rnacentral:rRNA from 1 species